UACGGAGGGGCUAGCGUUGUUCGGAAUUACUGGGCGUAAAGCGCGCGUAGGCGGACCUGCAAGUCGGGGGUGAAAGCCCGAGGCUCAACCUCGGAACUGCCUUCGAUACUGCGGGUCUCGAGUCCGGGAGAGGUGAGUGGAAUUCCUAGUGUAGAGGUGAAAUUCGUAGAUAUUCGGAAGAACACCAGUGGCGAAGGCGGCUCACUGGACUGGUAUUGACGCUGAGGUGCGAAAGCGUGGGGAGCAACA
rnacentral:rRNA from 1 species